AAUCUUAUUGUCUGCUGAACUUAUAGUUGGGCAUUACUUCGAGGGUUUUCGGUAACUCUUUGAAAAUUUAACAGAGGAUUUCUCUUUGUUCUUUCCUAUAAUAAUCAUUAGUAUGAUGUAUCAGGUGAUGAUGAAUCAUUUGUAUGCAAGCAGUAUGAAGCACAAACACUCAUAGGUUUAGGUGUGUCCACAUGUUAGACAUUUUCGGACACUGACACUCAUUUGAUUCCUGUACGACACAUGUUGGUCUGUCAAAAGCCUCAGACAAGUAUCCCCAAUUUUUUUUUCUUCACUUUGACUCAACACUCCUCAGACAUGGCUACUUUUUUUUUUGUUUGUAAAAAAUAGGCAUUUGAAAAGUUCUUUCAUAUGCACGUCUUCACGCAUACACACAUCUUCAUCUUCGUUCUUCAGCUUUCUUUCCCAGUUCCCUUUUCCAGUUUCCCAUUUCCACUCUCCUAUUUUGUCUCCUAU
rnacentral:lncRNA from 1 species